rnacentral:rRNA from 1 species
UAGGGAAUAUUGCGCAAUGGGCGAAAGCCUGACGCAGCGACACCGUGUGUAGGAUGAAGGUCUUCGGAUUGUAAACUACUGUCAGUUGAAGACGAAGGCAGUAGAGUUAAGAGCUCGAAUGCUGACGGUAUUCAAUUAGGAAGUCUCGGCUAACUCCGUGCCAGCAGCCGCGGUAAGACGGAGGAGGCAAGCAUUGUCCGGAAUUAUUGGGCGUAAAGAACACGUAGGCGGUUUGUCAAGUCAUAUGUGAAAACCUUGGGCUUAACUUAAGGAUUGCAUAUGAUACUGGCAAACUAGAGUAUAGUAGAGGAAAGCGGAAUUCCUGGUGUAGCGGUGAAAUGCGCAGAUAUCAGGAAGAACACCAGUGGCGAAAGCGGCUUUCUGGACUGUUACUGACGCUGAGGUGUGAAAGCUAGGGGAGCGAACAGG